rnacentral:rRNA from 1 species
UACGGGGGGGGUAAGCGUUGUUCGGAAUUACUGGGCGUAAAGGGCUCGUAGGCGGCCAACUAAGUCAGACGUGAAAUCCCUCAGCUUAACUGGGGAACUGCGUCUGAUACUGGAUGGCUUGGAUUCGGGAGAGGAAUGCGGAAUUCCAGGUGUAGCGGUGAAAUGCGUAGAUAUCUGGAGGAACACCGGUGGCGAAGGCGGCAUUCUGGACCGAUAUUGACGCUGAGGAGCGAAAGCGUGGGGAGCGAACCGG